rnacentral:rRNA from 1 species
GACGAACGCUGGCGGCGUGCUUAACACAUGCAAGUCGAACGGAAAGGCCCUGCUUGCAGGGUACUCGAGUGGCGAACGGGUGAGUAACACGUGGGUGAUCUGCCCUGAACUUCGGGAUAAGCCUGGGAAACUGGGUCUAAUACCGGAUAGGAGCCAUUUUUAGUGUGAUGGUUGGAAAGUUUUUUCGGUGUAGGAUGAGCUCGCGGCCUAUCAGCUUGUUGGUGGGGUAAUGGCCUACCAAGGCGGCGACGGGUAGCCGGCCUGAGAGGGUGGACGGCCACAUUGGGACUGAGAUACGGCCCAGACUCCUACGGGAGGCAGCAGUGGGGAAUAUUGCACAAGGGGCGCAAGCCUGAUGCAGCGACGCCGCGUGGGGGAUGACGGCCUUCGGGUUGUAAACUCCUUUCGCUAGGGACGAAGCUUUUUGUGACGGUACCUAGAUAAGAAGCACCGGCUAACUACGUG